AAGCCCAUGGAAAGGGCAUAGUCUUAAAAAAUCUUUAUAACGCUCUCAUGUGUCAAACAAGGAUUCUUCAUAUUCUUUCCUAAAACUGUUAAUCUCAUUCCUAACUU